rnacentral:rRNA from 1 species
AACGAACGGUGCCGGCAUGCCUAACACAUGCAAGUCGAACGAGACCUUCGGGACUAUUGGCGCUGCGGUGCGUAACGCGCGGGAACCUGCCCUUAGUUUCGUAUCAACUCCUCAAAAGGGGUGCUACUACCGGCAAAAGUCUUCGCAACAAGGAUUUAUCGCCUUUGGAUGGGCCUGCCUUGGAUUAGCUAGUUGUUCGGGUAACAGACUACCAAGGUUAGGACCCAUAACUGGUCUGAGAGGAGGAUCAGCCACACUGGGACUGAGACACGGCCCAGACGCGUACGGGAGGCGGCAGUGGGGAAGAUGGGACACUGGGCGAAAGCCUGAUCCAGGAAUGCCGCGUGAGUGAUGAAGGCGUUAGGGUUGUAAAGAUCUUUUACCCGGGAUGAUAAUGACAGUACCGGGAGAAGAAGCGCCGGCUAACUCCGU